rnacentral:rRNA from 1 species
UACGUAGGGUGCAAGCGUUGUCCGGAAUUAUUGGGCGUAAAGAGCUCGUAGGCGGUUUGUCGCGUCGAAUGUGAAACCCGGGGCUCAACCCCGGACCUGCAUCCGAUACUCCCGGACUGGAGGCAGGUAGGGGAGAGCGGAAUUCCCGGUGUAGCGGUGAAAUGCGCAGAUAUCGGGAAGAACACCGGUGGCGAAGGCGGCUCUCUGGACCUGUCCUGACGCUCAGGCGCGAAAGCUAGGGGAGCGAACAGG